GAGAGAGAGAGAGAGAGAGAGAGAGAGAGAGAAACCAACCUAGUGUACAAAGCUAACAUUUAUAUUCAUUGCCCCACCCACUUUUGCUUCUGGCCCCGCCCAGCACUGGCAUGUGGCCCCCAACAUGUUGUCCAAAAAGGAAUGUGGCCCUCAGUCUAAAAAAGGUCUCCCUAUUCCUGCUUAACUAUUUCCUGCCCCUCCAUUUUCCUCUCCAACCCUUUCCCCUCAAGUUGCUUUUUCCUAUUUAACCGGCAGCUGCAUCUUCAAGCCUCAGCUUCAAGCAGUGUGGAAGGGAAGAGCCCAUGGCGGUGCUGCGGAUCAGAGGAGCCAGUAAUGCCAACUGAGUCCCCUUUGCAAAGGAAAAGGCAUGGAUUGCUUCAUAUUGACUUACUGUUUAAAUGAGAUCAGUCAAAGCGUACGUGGACACCACUGUCUUGUACCACUUAACCAGGAAUAAGGGAACUAUAAACCAGGGGUGCAGGAAAAGGAAAAGACCUGCAUUCCAGGACACCCACAAUUCCUGAAGGAUGCUGCACACAUCCCCUGGUAGCCCUGCCAUCUCGAGUUGGCCUUCUGCAGUGAUAAAAGGCAAUGUAAGCCACCCUACCUUAGUUGUCGCAACCAAGUCAUUUAGAAUGUUAUGCAGAACCCUACAAGAUCCUAGGAAACACUGAUUCCCCCCCCCAAACUGUAUUGUUUCUCUUGAUUUUUUCUCCAUCACAACAUACAGAGAGCUGGAUAGUCUGACGGGUUGCAUAAGUUGGGUUUAAUGAGCAG